UACGUAGGGGGCUAGCGUUGUUCGGAUUUACUGGGCGUAAAGCGCGUGUAGGCGGUUCGGUAAGUCCGCUGUGAAAGUCGGGGGCUCAACCCUCGGAAGCCGGUGGAUACUGUCGGGCUUGAGUUCGGGAGAGGGAUGCGGAAUUCCAGGUGUAGCGGUGAAAUGCGUAGAUAUCUGGAGGAACACCGGUGGCGAAGGCGGCAUCCUGGACCGAUACUGACGCUGAGGAGCGAAAGCCAGGGGAGCAAACGGG
rnacentral:rRNA from 1 species